GAUCAUUACUGAGUGCGGGCUGCCUCCGGGCGCCCAACCUCCCACCCGUGACUACCUAACACUGUUGCUUCGGCGGGGAGCCCUCUCGGGGGCGAGCCGCCGGGGACUACUGAACUUCAUGCCUGAGAGUGAUGCAGUCUGAGUCUGAAUAUAAAAUCAGUCAAAACUUUCAACAAUGGAUCUCUUGGUUCCGGCAUCGAUGAAGAACGCAGCGAACUGCGAUAAGUAAUGUGAAUUGCAGAAUUCAGUGAAUCAUCGAGUCUUUGAACGCACAUUGCGCCCCCUGGCAUUCCGGGGGGCAUGCCUGUCCGAGCGUCAUUGCUGCCCAUCAAGCCCGGCUUGUGUGUUGGGUCGUCGUCCCCCCCGGGGGACGGGCCCGAAAGGCAGCGGCGGCACCGUGUCCGGUCCUCGAGCGUAUGGGGCUUUGUCACCCGCUCGAUUUAGGGCCGGCCGGGCGCCAGCCGACGUCCAACCAUUUUUCUUCAGGUUGACCUCGGAUCAGGUAGGGAUACCCGCUGAACCUAAGCAUAUCA
rnacentral:misc_RNA from 1 species